rnacentral:rRNA from 1 species
GUUCGGAUUGAAGGCUGAAAUUCGCCUUCAUGAAGCCGGAAUUGCUAGUAAUGGCAGGUCAGCAUACUGCCGUGAAUACGUUCCCGGGCCUUGUACACACCGCCCGUCACACCAUGAGAGUUGGAGAUACCCGAAGCCUGUGAGCUAACAAACGAGGCAGCAGUCGAAGGUAGAAUCAAUGAUUGGGGUGAAGUCGUAACAAGGUAGC